GACGAACGCUGGCGGCGUGCUUAACACAUGCAAGUCGAACGGAAAGGCCCUGCUUUUGUGGGGUGCUCGAUUGGCGAACGGGUGAGUAACACGUGAGUAACCUGCCCUUGACUUUGGGAUAACUUCAGGAAACUGGGGCUAAUACCGGAUAGGAGCUCCUGCUGCAUGGUGGGGGUUGGAAAGUUUCGGCGGUUGGGGAUGGACUCGCGGCUUAUCAGCUUGUUGGUGGGGUAGUGGCUUACCAAGGCUUUGACGGGUAGCCGGCCUGAGAGGGUGACCGGCCACAUUGGGACUGCGAGACGGACCAGACUCCUACGGGAGGCAGCAGUGGGGAAUAUUGCACAAUGGGCGGAAGCCUGAUGCAGCAACGCCGCGUGCGGGAUGACGGCCUUCGGGUUGUAAACCGCUUUCGCCUGUGACGAAGCGUGCGUGACGGUAAUGGGUAAAGAAGCACCGGCUAACUACGUG
rnacentral:rRNA from 1 species